GGCGGAUGUAGCCAAGUGGAUCAAGGCAGUGGAUUGUGAANCCACCCAU
rnacentral:tRNA from 1 species